UGCAAUGAAGGUGAUUGUUCUUUUUGGCGUC
rnacentral:piRNA from 1 species